CCUACGGGAGGCAGCAGUGAGGAAUAUUGGUCAAUGGGCGCAAGCCUGAACCAGCCAAGUAGCGUGAAGGAUGACUGCCCUCCGGGUUGUAAACUUCUUUUAUAAGGGAAUAAAUUGAGGCACGUGAGCCUUUUUGUCUGUCCAUUAUGAGUAAAGCUCGGCUAACUCUUCGCCAGCAGCCGCGGUAAUACGGAGGAUCCGAGCGUUAUCCGGAUUUAUUGGGGUUAAAGGGAGCGUAGAGGGGCUGUUAAGUCCGUUGUGAAAGUUUGCGGCUCAACCGUAAAAUUGCAAUUGAGACUGGCAGGCUGGAGUGCAGUUGAGGUAGGCGGAAUUCGUGGUGUAGCGGUGAAAUGCUUAGAUAUCACGAAGAACUCCGAUUGCGAAGGCAGCUUACUAAACUGCAACUGACAUUGAUGCUCGAAAGUGUGGGUAUCAAACAGGAUUAGAUACCCCUGUAGUC
rnacentral:rRNA from 1 species